rnacentral:rRNA from 1 species
GGCCGCGGGAAUUCGAUUAGAGUUUGAUUCUGGCUCAGCGCGAACGCUGGCGGCGUGCCUAACACAUGCAAGUCGUGCGGGGUGGUUUCUGCCACCCAGCGGCAAACGGGUGAGUAACACGUGAGUAACCUGCCCUCAGGAAGGGGAUAACCCGGGGAAACCCGGGCUAAUACCCUAUAAUGUCUGGGACCACUAAGGUCUCCAGACCAAAGGUGGCCUCUGUUCUGCAAGCUACCGCCUGAGGAGGGGCUCGCGGCCCAUCAGGUAGUUGGUGGGGUAACGGCCUACCAAGCCUAUGACGGGUAGCCGGCCUGAGAGGGUGUCCGGCCACAGUGGGACUGAGACACGGCCCACACCCCUACGGGGGGCAGCAGUGGGGAAUCGUGGGCAAUGGGCGAAAGCCUGACCCCGCGACGCCGCGUGGAGGAAGAAGCCCUUCGGGGUGUAAACUCCUGUCGGGGGGGAAGAUGCUCACAGAGGCGAAUAGUCUCUGUGGGUGACGGUACCCCCAGAGGAAGGGACGGCUAACUACGUGCCAGCAGCCGCGGUAAUACGUAGGUCCCGAGCGUUGCGCGAAUUCACUGGGCGUAAAGCGUCCGCAGCCGGACGGGUAAGCGGUUCGUCAAAGCCCACCGCUCAACGGUGGAAAGGCGUACCGAACUGCCCGUCUUGAGGCACGCUCAGGCAGGCGGAAUUCCCGGUGUAGCGGUGGAAUGCGUAGAUAUCGGGAGGAACACCGAAGGCGAAGGCAGCCUGCUGGGGCUGUCCUGACGGUCAGGGACGAAAGCUGGGGGAGCAAACCGGAUUAGAUACCCGGGUAGUCCCAGCCGUAAACCAUGGGCGCUAGACGUCGUCCGUAAGGGCGGUGUCUCAGCUAACGCGUUAAGCGCCCCGCCUGGGGAGUACGGGCGCAAGCCUGAAACUCAAAGGAAUUGGCGGGGGCCCGCACAACCGGUGGAGCGUCUGGUUCAAUUCGAUGCUAACCGAAAAACCUUACCCGGGCUUGACAUGAUGGGAAACCCUUGCGAAAGCGAGGGGUGCCGUCCUCUGGACGGAAUCCCAUCACAGGUGGUGCAUGGCCGUCGUCAGCUCGUGUCGUGAGAUGUUGGGUUAAGUCCCGCAACGAGCGCAACCCCUGCCCUUAGUUGCCACUCUACGGAGGGCACUCUAAGGGGACUGCCGGCGAUAAGCCGGAGGAAGGUGGGGAUGACGUCAGGUCAGUAUGCCCUUUAUGCCCGGGGCAACACAGGCGCUACAGUGGCCGGGACAAUGGGAAGCGACCCAGAAAUGGGGAGCAAAUCCUCAAACCCGGUCAUGGUGCAGAUUGAGGGCUGAAACUCGCCCUCAUGAAGCCGGAAUCGGUAGUAAUGGCGGAUCAGCUAAGCCGCCGUGAAUACGUUCUCGGGCCUUGCACACACCGCCCGUCACGCCACGGAAGUCAGUCUUCCCGGAAGCCCUCGAGCUAACCCGCAAGGGAGGCAGAGGACGAUGGGAAGGCUGGCAACUGGGGCGAAGUCGUAACAAGGUAGCCGUAGGGGAACCUGCGGCUGGAUCACCUCCUUUAUGAAUCACUAGUGAAUUC